GAUGAACGCUGGCGGCGUGCCUAAUACAUGCAAGUCGAGCGAACAGACGAGGAGCUUGCUCCUCUGACGUUAGCGGCGGACGGGUGAGUAACACGUGGAUAACCUACCUAUAAGACUGGGAUAACUUCGGGAAACCGGAGCUAAUACCGGAUAAUAUAUUGAACCGCAUGGUUCAAUAGUGAAAGACGGUUUUGCUGUCACUUAUAGCUGGAUCCGCGCCGCAUUAGCUAGUUGGUAAGGUAACGGCUUACCAAGGCGACGAUGCGUAGCCGACCUGAGAGGGUGAUCGGCCACACGGGAACGGAGACACGGUCCAGACUCCUACGGGAGGCAGCAGUAGGGAAUCGUCCGCAAUGGGCGAAAGCCUGACGGAGCAACGCCGCGUGAGUGAUGAAGGUCUUCGGAUCGUAAAACUCUGUUAUUAGGGAAGAACAAAUGUGUAAGUAACUAUGCACGGCUUGACGGUACCUAAUCAGAAAGCCACGGCUAACUACGUG
rnacentral:rRNA from 1 species